GACGAACGCUGGCGGCGUGCUUAACACAUGCAAGUCGAACGAUGAAGCCGGAGCUUGCUCUGGUGAAUUAGUGGCGAACGGGUGAGUAACACGUGAGUAACCUGCCCUUGACUCUGGGAUAACUGCUAGAAAUGGUAGCUAAUACCGGAUACGACCCUCGGAGGCAUCUCCAGGGGGUGGAAAGAAUUUCGGUCAAGGAUGGACUCGCGGCCUAUCAGCUAGUUGGUGAGGUAACGGCUCACCAAGGCGACGACGGGUAGCCGGCGUGAGAGGGUGACCGGCCACACGGGGACGGAGACACGGCCCAGACUCCGACGGGAGGCAGCAGUGGGGAAUAUUGCACAAUGGGCGCAAGCCUGAUGCAGCAACGCCGCGUGAGGGAUGACGGCCUUCGGGUUGUAAACCUCUUUUAGUAGGGAAGAAGCGAAAGUGACGGUACCUGCAGAAAAAGCACCGGCUAACUACGUGCCAGCAGCCGCUGUAA
rnacentral:rRNA from 1 species